GAGAGAAAGAGGAAGAACACAGAGGGAGGACAUGUAGACGGUUGGUGUGACAGAGGAGGAUGCUAGGGUUAGGGUGGGAUGGAGCAACCACUGUGAGAACCUCUAAAGCGAGCGGCCAAAAGAGGAAGAAGCACAGUCUUCCAGCUAGCAGACCAGAAAGGUCAGUCACACUGGAAGAAGUUAAAACGGUGAUCUCGCCUCAUUUGAACCCUGUCAAAGUGGAAUUUUCAAGGACUCGAUGCGGUCGAGAUCUUCUGCUCCCCCAUGUUUUAAAUAGAUCCCCCGGUCUGAAACUGUGAGGUCUCGGGGAUCAUGAGCUAGUGCCAGGCCCAAGCCCUGAGGAAUGGCAGCUUUACGUCAGGAAGGCCACCUGGUGUAAACAUGCGGAUCCAGAAGGUAAAGCCGAAGGGUCACCGAGCUGGAAUGAGGGCGGACUGACAACGAUGCCGAAACCUACUUGGCACAGCGCUGUGAUCACAGAGCCAGACAUGAGGAAAAAUAUGCAAAGAAACUGGGUUGGUCAAUAAAAGGCAGAGAGGAAGCAAAGAGGGGGACACUGUAGCAAUAAUUGUGUGGUUUUAAAUAGUUUGCAUCAUACAAUGACAAUAAAACUGAAGUAUGUAUUGUAGAGGCAAUUUCAAAUCAAUGUCCUAAACAAAGCAGUGGCGAACUGUCCAAGAGCACAGUGAAAGCAGCCAAACCAGAUUCUGAGGCCUGAAACUACGAAGUUUUCAGUGCGGACCACACUCUCUGUUCUACAUACAAAUGUUGUGUCUCGAACUCUUUUGCCUUCCUCUCCUCCUCUCUUCUGGGCGGGGCAGAGCGGAAAAAGAGACAAAUUAAAGAACGACAGAAAAAAAAAAGUAAAAAAAGAAAUCCCCCCGCAAAACACACGUGUCUGCGCUAAUCUGUCAGCUGUAAUUCCUGUAUUAUUAAAAAGAGAUACGGUCAUUUGUGGUGUAAUUACACCCACACCCUUUUCCCUUCUGACAGGAGGAAAUGCAUUCCAGGCAUCUUUGCUCUGAGCGUUUACUACACUCUGACAUGCUGUCACGCUUAUCUGAUGGUGUAGUCUCCUUCUGUCAGCCAGAGUGAGACAAAAACAGAAAACCACGGUGCCCACAGGUGAAUUUCAGGAGUUGCUCCUUAGAAAAAGACACGCACACCUUCAUGCCUGCAAGCACAUACAAAUGUAAUGACAGGUUUGACAAAGCAGAGACAAAUGGUUUUUCACACUUGCUCUUAGGUAUCAGCAUUAGUGCUGAAAGACAGUCUCCAAAUCAGCCAAAGAUUUGGCAGAAAAUCCUGCAUGGCAUUCGUGUCUCAAUCAGCAGUUUUAUUAAGUGCUUAAAACCCAUUUUAUUUCGAGCCUGUUGAUUAGCUAUGCCUAGGCAAAUGUAAAAUGCAAUCAUGUCAAUUGUUAACCCUUGAAAUGAAACCUUCAGGUCUAUUUGAAGUUUAGCAGAAACACAUAAUAUAAACUUAAACAUUAAAAAGUAGAAACUUAAUCUGACUUUUACCAACUUAAACUUUUUGAGUUUCUCUAAAAUUUCUUUUAGGGAUCUCUGAUCUCUCUCCUGACCUCCUCUUUACAUAUUGACUAUUUGAACUAAAGAUUUCAUAUAUAGUUAUCACCUCUUAAGGCCCAUUGCCUCAAAUUUUCACUUGAGGUUGUGCAGUGUGGCAUACCUUAGACUUUUGUCCCUGUUUCCCUUCCUUAAGAAUGGCCUCCUUGACAGAUACCCUUCCACUGAGAACAUUUCUGAUGAACAGGCAGAUAACAACAGGCAGAAACAUCCAGAGAAGAGCUUUGAAUGUCCUUCAAGAAGCCUCGAGAACUAUUCCUGAAGACUCUUUAAAGAAAUGACAUGAAAGCUGCCUGAGAGAGUUCAGACUGUGCUUCCAUCAUGUUUGCAUGAAUGCAAAUGCAGAAUGCGGAAAAAGUUCAUUUAGUUCAAUCCCAUCGUAUCUAAAUAUUUAAUUCUCUGUGAUAAUGGGGACACUACGUAAGUGCUGCUUACAGAGUUAAAUUAGGCAAACACAACUUCAUGAGAUCCAUGACUGACAUGGUGUCUUGAACUUUGAUAUGAUUGCUAACACCAAAAAAAGUCAGCUUCACACCAGUUAAUCAAGAUUUACCACACUGCUGUUGUUUUGUAGCAUGUUUGCUGUGCC
ensembl:lncRNA